CCUACGGGAGGCAGCAGUGGGGAAUAUUGCACAAUGGGGGAAACCCUGAUGCAGCGACGCCGCGUGAGUGAAGAAGUAUUUCGGUACGUAAAGCUCUAUCAGCAGGGAAGAAAAUGACGGUACCUGACUAAGAAGCCCCGGCUAACUACGUGCCAGCAGCCGCGGUAAUACGUAGGGGGCAAGCGUUAUCCGGAUUUACGGGGUGUAAAGGGAGCGUAGACGGCAGCGCAAGUCUGGAGUGAAAUCCCAUGGCUUAACCAUGGAACUGCUUUGGAAACUGUGCAGCUAGAGUGCAGGAGAGGUAAGCGGAAUUCCUAGUGUAGCGGUGAAAUGCGUAGAUAUUAGGAGGAACACCAGUGGCGAAGGCGGCUUACUGGACUGUAACUGACGUUGAGGCUCGAAAGCGUGGGGAGCAAACAGGAUUAGAUACCCCAGUAGUC
rnacentral:rRNA from 1 species